rnacentral:SRP_RNA from 1 species
GCAACGCUACUCUGUUUACCAGGUCAGGUCCGGAAGGAAGCAGCCAAGGCAGAUGACGCGUGUGCCGGGAUGUAGCUGGCAGGG